UACGGAGGGUGCGAGCGUUGUCCGGAAUCACUGGGCGUAAAGGGCGCGUAGGCGGCGCGGGAAGUCCGUGGUGAAAGCCCGGGGCUCAACUUCGGGUCGGCCAUGGAUACUCCUGGGCUUGAGCACUGUAGAGGCAGGUGGAAUUCCGGGUGUAGCGGUGGAAUGCGUAGAGAUCCGGAAGAACACCGGUGGCGAAGGCGGCCAACUGGACCAUUUCUGACGCUGAGGCGCGAAAGCGUGGGGAGCAAACAGG
rnacentral:rRNA from 1 species